GACAGAGGUGCCAAGCGUUAGGCGGAAUCACUGGGCUUAAAGGGCGCGUAGGCGGGCGCGAAAGUCAGGGGUGAAAUCCCACGGCCCAACCGUGGAAGUGCCUUUGAUACUGCGUGCCUGGAGGGAGGUAGGGGCGUGCGGAACUUCCGGUGGAGCGGUGAAAUGCGUAGAUAUCGGAAGGAACACCGAUGGCGAAAGCAGCGCGCUGGACCUCUUCUGACGCUGAGGCGCGAAAGCCAGGGGAGCGAACGGG
rnacentral:rRNA from 1 species